UGUCUUGUGUUGUUAUGUUGGUCAGAUUCUAAUCAUUUUUUGACUCAUAUCCAGCAAUACAAUAAUUGCUUUCAAAUGACAUCAUUUGGCGCAACAAAAGUUAUUGGAGACAAUUUUAUGCCUACUUUCAAGGUAUAUACAUAAAAUCAGGGUCAAAUAUAUCAUCGAACAGGUUCCUUAUUGGCAAUGCCUGAUGAAGACUAUAAAUUUUUGCAAAUAUAUUUUAUGGGCGAUUCAGCAAGAGAAGUCGAUCAGCGUUGCGCACACAACAACUCAGUGAAAAGAUCCAUUGUGAAACAACUUCAAAAAUUUUUCCAUCAACACAAUGAAUUAGUUGCAUUAUUCACAACUGCAUUAGACCGCAUGUCAUCAGAUAAUCAUAAAAGUGUCAUCAAAGCCGAUUAGUCGCCUGCAGGACAAUAUGCUGGACGUUUUAAUGCGCCAACAAUUGACGAAGUGGCUAUUGUCGUCGUGGGAGAAAAUUUAGAAAACCAAGACAUUGUUUUACUUCGACGGAACGAUCAACUUCAGCGUGUGUCUGAAACACAUCGAUCAUACAGAGAACAUAAAACAUAGAGAAGGUGCAGGUUCGAUGUCGAACAAUUUAUAAGAUUGGAGUACGGAAUUCACCUCACAACUUCAGAAUUCACGAUGUGAAAUGUUAACAUUUUUAACAGUUCUCCACAUACUCAAACAGAGAAUAUGAAGAGAAAUAAUAUAUGUACGGCAUAUGACGCCAUAGCAUGUAUGCGCAA